rnacentral:rRNA from 1 species
UGAAUACGAGACGCUAAGGCGUCGAAGUAGUGUAUGUCAUACUUCCAAGAAAAGCUUGCACUGUCAUAAGUAAAAAAUGCCUGUACCAUAACCGACACAGGUGGGUAGGUAGAGUAUACUAAGGGGCGCGAGAUAACUCUCUCUAAGGAACUCGGCAAAAUAACUCCGUAACUUCGGGAGAAGGAGUACCUUAUUCUAUAAGGUUGCAAUAACAAGAUCCAAGCAACUGUUUAUCAAAAACACAGGUCUCCGCUAAGUCGUAAGACGAUGUAUGGGGGCUGACGCCUGCCCAGUGCCAGAAGGUUAAAGAAGUCGGUUAGCAUUAGCGAAGCUGGUAACUGAAGCCCUGGUGAACGGCGGCCGUAACGAUAACGGUCCUAAGGUAGCGAAAUUCCUUGUCGGGUAAGUUCCGACCCGCACGAAAGGCGUAAUGAUUUGGAUACUGUCUCGGAGAGGGGCUCGGUGAAAUAGACUUGUCUGUGAAGAUGCGGACUACCUGCACCAGGACAGAAAGACCCUAUGAAGCUUUACUGUAACUUGAAAUUGAAAUUGGACUUUAUUCGCGCAGUAUAGGUGGGAGGUGUUGAUUAUAAUCUUGCGGGAUUAUUGGAGCCAUCAGUGAGAUACCACUCUUGUAAUGUUAGAUUUCUAACUUUGAAUCAUUAUCUGGUCAAAGGACAGUUUCAGGCGGGCAGUUUGACUGGGGCGGUCGCCUCCCAAACGGUAACGGAGGCGUACAAAGGUUUCCUCUGAACGGGUAGAAAUCGUAUCUAGAGUGUAAAGGCAUAAGGAAGCUUGACUGUGAGACCUACAAGUCGAACAGGGACGAAAGUCGGUCUUAGUGAUCUGACGGUACUGAGUGGAAAGGCCGUCACUCAAUGGAUAAAAGUUACUCUAGGAUAACAGGCUGAUCUCCCCCAAGAGUUCACAUCGACGGGGAGGUUUGGCACCUCGAUGUCGGCUCAUCGCAUCCUGGGGCGGUAGUACGUCCCAAGGGUUGGGCUGUUCGCCCAUGAAAGCGGUACGCGAGCUGGGUUCAGAACGUCGUGAGACAGUUCGGUCCAUAUCCGGUGUAGGCGUUAGAAUAUUGAGAGGAGCCUUCUUUAGUACGAGAGGACCGAGAAGGACAUACCUCUGGUGUACCAGUUAUCGUGCCAACGGUAAACGCUGGGUAGCUAUGUAUGGAGUGGAUAACCGCUGAAAGCAUCUAAGUGGGAAGCCCACCUCAAGAUAAGUAUUCUC